GUAUAGUGCAUAUAUUAUGCACCAACACUAAGAUUUCAAAAUAUUAGUUCUUCUCUGUAGUUCGUUGAACAUUAUUUUGAUAUUUAUUUUUUUAUCUCUUUUACUCUUUUAAGUGGUCUUAGUGAUCUGACCAAAAUGGCAGAAAAGUGUGCCAUUGCAAAAGAUAUUACUGAAUUGAUAGGUAAAACACCAUUGGUGUAUCUCAACAAUAUCGCCGAUGGUUGUGUUGCUCGUAUUGCUGCCAAACUAGGGAUGAUGGAACCCUGCUCUAGCGUUAAAGACAGGUACAGUAUGAUACAAGAUGCAGAGGAGAAAGGCGUCAUCAGGCCUGGUGAGAUUCUGCUAGGGGCAUGAAAGGGGCUGUUCAAAAGGAGGAAGAAAUAAAGGAAAAGACCUCCAAUGCCUACAUUCUUCAUCAAUUUUAAAACCCUGCCAACCCAAAGGUAUUAUGGCACCAGUACUUUUGAGUUUCUGUAUUAUCACGUAUCAGCAUAUGUUGGUAGCUGAUUGGAUAGAUUAAUUAUUUGAUCGAUAUCAUCUGUUUAGGUCCAUUAUGAGAUUGUUAGAAUAGGAAAUAAUAUUGCAUAUAUUUUAUUCUUAUUUGAUUUUAUUUUUCUUUGAUUGAUGUAAUGGUCUAGCCCAUAAUUUAUGCCUGAUGGCACUCCUGUAAUUACGCUUUAUUAUCAAUAUAAAUGGGGAUGGGAUCUCACUCAUUCCCCAACUCUUUCCAUCCCUUCUCUAAAAUCUUCAUGGUGUUAAAGUCACCUGUACCCUAGUAACCCUAAUCCAGCCAUACCCAGCCAUAACCUAAUCCUUCCAUACCCUCUUACACCGACAGUCAAUACCAACCCCACCCAGCUCUCUGAAACCCCUUGCCCAGGCCGUCGGCACUCUAGAACAGUCCUCUUAGGCUCCCCGACAGCCUAUUAGGGUUAGUCGGCAAUCUUCUCUAUUCAAUGGUCAAAACUAUUUAGCGUGGUCGCAGAGAGUUUGACUAUUUUUUUUGAAGAGCACAGGGAAGAUGGGGUAUGUUGAUGGCAGAAUACAGGCACCUAGCACUGUGGACCCUAGUUAUGAUCAGUGGGAAAUCACCAAUUCUCUCAUCAUGGGUUGGUUGAUCCACUCUAUGGUCCUUGAGAUUGGAGAGGGCUAUUUGGCUAUGGUCAUCAUGGGUUGGUUGAUCCACUCUACGGUCCUUGAGAUUGGAGAGGGCUAUUUGGCUAUGGACACUGCAGAGGAUAUCCGGGAGGCUGUAGCUACCACUUACUCCCGCAAAGGGAACUUCUCAUAGACUUUUGAGUUACGUUGCUCCAUUGAAAGGUCGGUACAGGGUGAGAUGAUUGUUCUAUAGUAUUUUACCUUCCUUAGCAAUGGGUGGAAGCGACUUGAUCAUCUUCAGGAUUAUAAACUUGUCUACCCCAUGGAUUCUGCUGGUUACCGAAAGUUUGUAGAACAGGUGCGAGUCUUCAAGUUCUUUGAAGCCCUAAGUGUGGAGUAUGAUCCAAUUCGGAGUAGACUACUUGGUAUGGAUAUGCUUCAUUCUCUCCAGGAAGCCUUUGCUAUUGUGCAGAAUGAGGAGAAUCGCCGUUCCGCGAUGCUUGCUUCUCCCACUACUGAUCGUUCUACCUUGGUUUUUGCACCCCCCGAGAUGAAGAGCGUAUGACUUGUGGUUCUCAUCCUUUCUCUGAGAAGGAUACUCUUUUCUGUGACUACUGCUGUAGACCUCGACACACACGUAAGACUUGCUGGAAGCUGCAUGAAACUCCAUCCGGUGGCUGAGGAGAUCAUCUUGGUUCUCGAUGGGGUAGGUCAAGCCAGUCUAGAGGCCGAGGGACCAAUGCUCGGGCACAUCUUUCUAAAACGGUUGAGCACCACUUUCAGCUCCUGUUGUCUCACCGGCUGCUGAUGUUUCUGGGUUGUCUGCCUCAGAGUUUGAGAUUGGUCUUUGCCACUUGCUAGACCGUCGAGCCUUUCCUACUGUCUUCGGUGCAUCCUCUUCUUCUUUUGCCAACUCACGUAACUUGGCUUCCUUUACAAGUGCAUUGCUAUCUCAUAAAACUAUUCUUUGGAUUAUUGAUUCGGGUGCUUCCGAUCAUAUGUCUGGUUCCUCUAAUUUGUUCUCAGAGUAUACACCCUCCUCAGGUCAGGAAAAAGUGCGUAUUGCAGACAGUACUAUUUCAUCUGUGUCAGGGAAAGGACCUUAUCACGAGAAAGAGGAUUGGUAGUGGUAGAGAGGACCAUGGUCUCAACAUUCUGGAUCAGACUGACAAGCUAGCUCAUUCAUCUAUUUAGUUACCAUCCACCAAGGAAGACCUUUGGCUGUGGCAUCGUCGCUUAAGACAUCCCUCCUUUUUACUACUUAAGCAUCUUUUUCUUCUGUUUUUUAGAAAAAUAAUGUGUCUGAUUUUUAG